rnacentral:rRNA from 1 species
GUCCACGCCCUAAACGAUGCGAACUAGGUGUUGGGGAAGGAGACUUCCUUAGUACCGCAGCUAACGCGUGAAGUUCGCCGCCUGGGGAGUACGGUCGCAAGAUUAAAACUCAAAGGAAUUGACGGGGACCCGCACAAGCGGUGGAUGAUGUGGAUUAAUUCGAUGCAACGCGAAAAACCUUACCUACCCUUGACAUGUACCGAAGUCUGCCGAGAGGUGGAUGUGCCCGAAAGGGAGCGGUAACACAGGUGCUGCAUGGCUGUCGU